AGCGCUUUUCAAAAGCGCUCUGGUAGGGGUGUUUAAUGAGAGCGCUUUUUGUCAAAAGCGCUGGUAUAGACCAGGCUAUGAGAGCGCUUUUCAGAAGCGCUUUAGUAGCCUUUAUUACUAAAAAUUAAAAACCAAAACACGCGUUACUGUUUCUCAUUUCUCUCUUUCGUUUUCUGCAGAACCCUUCCGUCCACCACUGUUCUUCAUCCACAAACCCUCACUGCACGCGAAACCCUUCCGUCCACCACCAUCGGCAACCACCGUCGGCGUCCCUCCGUCGGCUUCUCCUCCGUCACUCGUUUUAUCCACCGCCGGUCUGACUGGAUUGAUAACUUUGGAUCUCUUUGGAGCUCGUAUCAUUGACUCUGGUACUACAUAUUUAGGAGGGUAACUUGUGUAUAGUGAAAGUUUGAUCGUUUCCCAGCCUAGUUCGACGUUUGGCGUUUUCUUGAGUUCGGUAACAUCCGAGGGGUUACUUGUGAAGAGUGGAAGUUUGACCGUUGUUGUUUAGCUUAAUUAAGACAUGGAUAAGACAUGGAUGAAUUCAAACCGAUUGUCGAAAGAGUACGAGAAAGGGGUAUGGGAAUUUGUUGA